UACGAAGGGGGCGAGCGUUGUUCGGAUUUACUGGGCGUAAAGGGCGCGCAGGCGGCUCAUUUUGUCAGGCGUGAAAGCCCCGGGCUUAACCUGGGAACUGCGUCCGAUACUGAAAGGCUUGAAUCCGGGAGAGGGAUGCGGAAUUCCAGGUGUAGCGGUGAAAUGCGUAGAUAUCUGGAGGAACACCGGUGGCGAAGGCGGCAUCCUGGACCGGUAUUGACGCUGAGGCGCGAAAGCCAGGGGAGCAAACGGG
rnacentral:rRNA from 1 species